GUGGGGAAUAUUGCACAAUGGGCGGAAGCCUGAUGCAGCGACGCCGCGUGGGGGAUGAAGGCCUUCGGGUUGUAAACUCCUUUCGACAGGGACGAAGCUUUUGUGACGGUACCUGUAUAAGAAGCACCGGCUAACUACGUGCCAGCAGCCGCGGUAAUACGUAGGGUGCGAGCGUUGUCCGGAAUUACUGGGCGUAAAGAGCUCGUAGGUGGUUUGUCGCGUCGUCUGUGAAAUUCCGGGGCUUAACUCCGGGCGUGCAGGCGAUACGGGCUGACUUGAGUGCUGUAGGGGAGACUGGAAUUCCUGGUGUAGCGGUGAAAUGCGCAGAUAUCAGGAGGAACACCGAUGGCGAAGGCAGGUCUCUGGGCAGUAACUGACGCUGAGGAGCGAAAGCAUGGGUAGCGAACAGGAUUAGAAACCCCAGUAGUCC
rnacentral:rRNA from 1 species